rnacentral:rRNA from 1 species
UGGGGAAUAUUGCACAAUGGGGGAAACCCUGAUGCAGCGACGCCGCGUGAGCGAAGAAGGUUUUCGAAUCGUAAAGCUCUGUCCUAUGAGAAGAUAAUGACGGUAUCAUAGGAGGAAGCCCCGGCUAAAUACGUGCCAGCAGCCGCGGUAAUACGUAUGGGGCGAGCGUUGUCCGGUAUUAUUGGGCGUAAAGGGUACGUAGGCGGUCUAUUAAGUCAGGUGUGAAAGCGUGAGGCUUAACCUCAUUAAGCACUUGAAACUGAUAGACUUGAGUGAAGGAGAGGAAAGUGGAAUUCCUAGUGUAGCGGUGAAAUGCGUAGAUAUUAGGAGGAAUACCGGUGGCGAAGGCGACUUUCUGGACUUUUACUGACGCUCAGGUACGAAAGCGUGGGGAGCAAACAGG